rnacentral:rRNA from 1 species
UAGGGAAUCUUCGGCAAUGGACGAAAGUCUGACCGAGCAACGCCGCGUGCGUGAAGAAGGUUUUCGGAUCGUAAAACUCUGUUGUUAGAGAAGAACAAGGACGUUAGUAACUGAACGUCCCCUGACGGUAUCUAACCAGAAAGCCACGGCUAACUACGUGCCAGCAGCCGCGGUAAUACGUAGGUGGCAAGCGUUGUCCGGAUUUAUUGGGCGUAAAGCGAGCGCAGGCGGUUUCUUAAGUCUGAUGUGAAAGCCCCCGGCUCAACCGGGGAGGGUCAUUGGAAACUGGGGGACUUGAGUGCAGAAGAGGAGAGUGGAAUUCCAUGUGUAGCGGUGAAAUGCGUAGAUAUAUGGGGGAACACCAGUGGCGAAGGCGGCUCUCUGGUCUGUAACUGACGCUGAGGCUCGAAAGCGUGGGGAGCAAACAGG